rnacentral:rRNA from 1 species
AACGAACGCUGGCGGCAGGCUUAACACAUGCAAGUCGAACGCCCCGCAAGGGGAGUGGCAGACGGGUGAGUAACGCGUGGGAAUCUACCCAGAUCUUCGGAACAACACAGGGAAACUUGUGCUAAUACCGGAUACGCCCUACGGGGGAAAGAUUUAUCGGUUCUGGAUGAGCCCGCGUUGGAUUAGCUAGUUGGUGCGGUAAUGGCUCACCAAGGCGACGAUCCAUAGCUGGUCUGCGAGGAUGAUCAGCCAAACUGGGCCAGAGACACGGCCCAGACUCCUACGGGAGUCAGCAGUGGGUAAUAUUGUACAAUGGGCGAAGGCCUGAUCCAGCCAUGGCGCGUGGGUGAUGAAGGCCUUAGGGUUGUAAAGCUCUUUUAGUGGGGAAGAUAAUUACGGUACCCACAUAAAAAGCCCCGGCUAACUUCGUGCCAGCCGCCGCGGUAAAAC